AAUGAACGCUGGCGGCGCGCCUAAUACAUGCAAGUCGAGCGAGAAGACGUAGCAAUACGUUUGUAAAGCGGCGAACGGGUGAGGAAUACAUGGGUAACCUACCCUCGAGUGGGGAAUAACUAGCCGAAAGGUUAGCUAAUACCGCGUACGCUCCACGGAGGAAAGCAGGGGAUCGCAAGACCUUGCACUAUGGGAGCGGCCGAUGCCCGAUUAGCUAGUUGGUGAGGUAAAAGCUCACCAAGGCAACGAUCGGUAGCUGGUCUGAGAGGACGACCAGCCACACUGGGACUGAGACACGGCCCAGACUCCUACGGGAGGCAGCAGUGGGGAAUUUUGGACAAUGGGCGCAAGCCUGAUCCAGCCAUGCCGCGUGCGGGAAGAAGG
rnacentral:rRNA from 1 species